rnacentral:rRNA from 1 species
UACAGAGGUCUCAAGCGUUGUUCGGAUUCAUUGGGCGUAAAGGGUGCGUAGGCGGCCAACUAAGUCCGACGUGAAAUCCCAAGGCUUAACCUUGGAACUGCGUCGGAUACUGGAUGGCUUGAAUUCGGGAGAGGGAUGCAGAAUUCCAGGUGUAGCGGUGAAAUGCGUAGAUAUCUGGAGGAACACCGGUGGCGAAGGCGGCAUCCUGGACCAAUACUGACACUGAGGAGCGAAAGCCAGGGGAGCAAACGGG